rnacentral:rRNA from 1 species
AAUAACAUGCCGAAAGGCGUGCUAAUACUGGAUAGAGCGAUGGAAUCCGUAAUUGGGUUUUUCGGGAAAGGGAGGAAGCAAUUCCCUUUGCUCUGGGAUGAGCCUGCGUCUCAUUAGCUAGUUGGUGGGGUAAUGGCCCACCAAGGCUUUGAUGGGUAGCUGGUCUGAGAGGAUGAUCAGCCACACUGGAACUGAAACACGGUCCAG